GCAGAGAAAAAACCAGCGGAAGAGAAGAAGGCUGAGAAGAAAUUACCACCCAGCAAAGAUGGUUCAUCAACUGUUGAUAAGACGAAGAAAUCAGUGGAAACUUAUGAGAUGUACAUCCUCAAAGUUCUAAAACAAGUUCAUCCUGAUACUGGUAUUUCAAGUGAAGCUAUGGGUACUAUGAACAGUUUCAUUAGAAAUACUUGAUCGUCAAGAUUAGCUAGGUACAAUAUGAGGAGAACUAUCACUAAUCGAGAUAUUCAGACUGCUGUUCGUCUUCUGUUUCCUGCUGAAUUAGCUAAGAAUGCUGUUUCUCAAGCUUCCUCUUCCUUCUGACGAUGUAGCAGUUAAUGUAAUUUCUCAAAUUGCCAGUGUGGAGUUUAAUAUUGCUGAAACUGAUGCUCUUAUCUGGGAAGCUAAUGCUCAUGGCGAGUUCAGCAUAAAAGGGACCUAUAAGGCUGUAUCUGUUCAUAAAGAUCAUGUGAAGUGGCGUUCUCGUGUUUGGUUUAAGCAGCAUAUCCCUAGACACUCUUUAUUUGCUUGGAUCUUCAUGGCAGACUCAAGACAAGGGAUGAAUUGAAGCAAUGGGGUCGUAUUGAGACUUCAAUCUGUAUACUCUCUGUGGAGGUGCUCGUGAGAGUGAAGGUCAUUUUUUUUCAUGAAUGGGUUAUCUGAGAGCCAUUUCUGUUACAUGGGAGGAGGAAGUUAAUUGGUGUUGAACAUUUUUCAGGUUCUGACCUUAGCUCUAUCAAGAAGCUUGUUUUUACUGGUUUCAUUUACCAGGGAUGGAAGGAGAGGAAUAAAUAAGGUGUUUCUUUAUCGAUCAUGGGCUUCCGUUCGGGUUAUGACAGCUGAUCAGCGUGCACUGCUCCUCAAACAUGUAGUCAAAGAUGACCUAGCAAAUAAGAUUUCUUUCAAGGACUGUGUACAGAUUGCCAGGGAUUUAAGUCACCCUAGAACAGGUGCUUUGUGUCUGUAAUGAUAAAAAAUCAGUCACGUCUUCAUAGAUUCCAAACAGAUUUCAAUAAUCACAAGCUGGAUUCUCAACCAGAAACAAGUAAAUGCGGAUCUCAGAAAAGGAAGAAAAGAUCCAAAAGAAAGUCAUCGAAACAUAGAAAGUCCGUAAAUGGAGAAUCAGAUGGUUGCCAAUUCAGGUGUCAUUAAGAAAUGAAGUCAGCUUUUAAGUAGAGGUGAACAGUGCUAAGAGGGUCUGCAGGAGAGACUUGUCUAUCUUUUCCUAGGAGUCACUUUGGUUUUUGGUUUUCAUUGUUUAGGUUUAAUUGCAGUCUUUUGUUUUGUUUCGCCUUUAUUUUGUUGCGCAUCCAGAUUCAAACCUGGGUACAUGACAGGCGGUGGGCUGUUAAGUUGAAGUUCCUUUAAAAACUUAAGUUUCUGUUCACAACUUUUUACUUGCUUAACCCUGUUAAUUGGAAAUCGUAUUUCUUA